UACGAAGGUCCCAAGCGUUGUUCGGAAUCACUGGGCGUAAAGGGCGCGUAGGCGGCGUGGUAAGUCAGAUGUGAAAUCCCGGGGCUCAACCCCGGAACUGCAUCCGAUACUGCCAUGCUAGAGGAUUGGAGAGGUAGCUGGAAUUCUUGGUGUAGCAGUGAAAUGCGUAGAGAUCAAGAGGAACACGCGUGGCGAAAGCGAGCUACUGGACAAUUCCUGACGCUGAGGCUCGAAGGCCAGGGUAGCGAAAGGG
rnacentral:rRNA from 1 species